rnacentral:rRNA from 1 species
GUCUCAGGCCGUAUCAGCCUGAAGGCUCCCGAUCUCGUCUGAUCUCGGAAGCUAAGCAGGGUCGGGCCUGGUUAGGAUCUUGGAUGGGACGACCACCUGGGGAAUCCCGGGUGCUCGAGGCU